rnacentral:rRNA from 1 species
AAGCAACGCGCAGAACCUUACCAGCCCUUGACAUCCCGGUCGCGGUUUCCAGAGAUGGAUUCCUUCAGUUCGGCUGGACCGGUGACAGGUGCUGCAUGGCUGUCGUCAGCUCGUGUCGUGAGAUGUUGGGUUAAGUCCCGCAACGAGCGCAACCCUCGCCCUUAGUUGCCAUCAUUCAGUUGGGCACUCUAAGGGGACUGCCGGUGAUAAGCCGAGAGGAAGUGGGGAUGACGCCAAGUCAUCAUGGCCCUCAUGUCCAGGGCGACACACGUGCUACAAUGGCCGGCACAACGGGAAGCGACGGCGCGAGUCGUAGCGGAUCCCUCAAAGCCGGUCCCAGUUCGGAUUGCAGUCUGCAACUCGACUGCGUGAAGUCGGAAUCGCUAGUAAUCGUGAAUCAGAAUGUCACGGUGGAUACGUUCCCGGGCCUU